AUGACUCACAACCAUCUGUACCAAUACAACUAUUCUGUUCUUCACUUUCAAUACAGUGUUCAAUACCUUACAUGGGACAUUCAACACUUUAAUAUAAAAUGGGAUUUUUGUUAGAUGAUUUUACCCAACGGUGGGCUAAUGCAAGCAUGCUAAGCACAUUUAUGGGUAGCCUAGGCUAAGCUCUGAUGUCUGAACCACCUCAGAAUAUGAUGUCUGAUGUCCACAGCUAUCCUGAUGUCUAAAGAAUUUCAAAGAAAUGGAGCCAACAUCAUGGAAUUGACGAGACAAUUCUGAAAUUUCCUACAUGCGGUUGUAUUUCCCCGACAGAAACAGUCAAUAUGUGUAUGAUUUAAGUCCCUAUUGACUUACUGUUUGACAGGUUUCAUUUUAUCAAUUUUCUGCAUAGGUGUGUGCAUUUUU